rnacentral:tRNA from 1 species
GGAGGGUAUAGCUCAAUGGUAGAGCAUGUGUUUAGCAUGCACAAGGUCCUGGGUUCAAUCCCCAGUACCUCCA